rnacentral:miRNA from 1 species
UUAUUGCUUGAGAAUGCACAU